GGGCGCGUAGCUCAGUGGCAAGAGCGCUUGACUCACAUUCAAGAGGUCGUAGGUUCAAUCCCUACCGCGCCCACCA
rnacentral:tRNA from 2 species